rnacentral:rRNA from 1 species
GACGAACGCUGGCGGCGUGCUUAACACAUGCAAGUCGAACGGAAAGGCCCUGCUUUUGUGGGGUGCUCGAGUGGCGAACGGGUGAGUAACACGUGAGUAACCUGCCCUUGACUUUGGUAUAACUUCAGGAAACUGGGGCUAAUACCGGAUAGGAGCUCCUGCUGCAUGUUGUGGGUUGGAAAGUUUCGGCGGGUGGGGAUGGACUCGCGGCUUAUCAGCUUGUUGGUGGGGUAGUGGCUUACCAAGGCUUUGACGGGUAGCCGGCCUGAGAGGGUGACCGGCCACAUUGGGACUGAGAUACGGGCCAGAGUCCUACGGGAGGCAGCAGUGGGGAAUAGUGCACAAUGGGCGGAAGCCUGAUGCAGCAACGCCGCGUGCGGGAUGACGGCCGUCGGGUUGUAAACCGCUUUCGCCUGUGACGAAGCGUGAGUGACGGUAAUGGGUAAAGAAGCACCGGCUAACUACGUG